AACCGAGGGGCGCGUCUGCCCAUUACAGCGGUAACUCAUUAGCCCAAAAGGCAUAGGGUUACUUAAGGCAGGGUCUCACUCGGAUCUUGUAUCUUCACAUCGCCUCUAAGUAUUGUAAACUCUGGUAACUGCUGUUUGUUCAGAAAGUUGGAAAUACAAAAUGAAGGAGUCAGCGGGACUGCAUUUCUUCUGGAGACCCGAUGAGAAUCCUUUUGAUGAAUGCUAAUAGCUAUGUGCAAAAUCUUGGAUUUGCCUAUGACUUCAAGAACAUCUACAGAACUGUAUGAGAGAGAAAAAGCCAGCCUCCUCAAAUAACUUGGCUUAAGCAAGCUAUUUAUUGUACUCAGCAACUUUCAGCACUAGGAGAGCUAGCCAGUAUAGAAGAAGCCUCUGGGAAACUUGAUUUUUCCAUAUUCUGUAACUCAAGUAUGUGCUGUCUUCAGAAAUAAGGUCUCACUGUUAAGUUCUGAAGAGUUACUGAGAGAAGUGACAAUGGCACGUAAUAUUUAGAGGUUUGGGGGAACCUCACUGCUCAGCACCUCCAAAAGAAGUAAUCCAUCCUGGAUUGGGGGUUUUAUUUUAACGAUUUCCUGUAUUUUAAUGACUAAAAUCUAAGUUGCAUGGCAAAAGCUGAUGUCAUGGGGCAGGAAUGACACUUGUUCCUCAUGGAAAGGCACUAACUAUGUUCAACAAUAAUCUAAUAUAACCUGUCACUCUCUUAUACCAGUACCUUUUGCAUUAUUCUCUUUGCUAUGUAAAAUAUUCUCUACUCAUAAAACUAAAAAAUGGGAGUGAACAAAUAUUUAAUAAACAUUUGAAGAGUGACAAAUG
rnacentral:lncRNA from 1 species